GACUUCUCUAGUCUCUGUCCCACAGACAGGUAUAAAAUGUUAAGAGCCCUAUUGGAAUAUCUGCCACAGAGAAGGCAGAACAGGUAUUUCUCAAGCAGAUGUUGGCUGAUUAUAAAUGAGGGGAGUAUAUUAUUUAACAAGUUGGAUCUUGCAACAGGCCUUGCUGUUUUUUCUCUAUUCUAUGCGUUUUGGAGGGGCAUUGAUUACCUAUGUGUAAUGGUUCCAUUAAUCUUUCAAGUUGUUUUGUCGUUUGGACUUACAGCUUUCAAUUGAAGAAGACAAUAAAGUGUUAAAUGGCAAGUUUUGCUCGCAGUAGUUGAAAAGAGCAGGCAAAAGAAUCCUCGAAGCUUAUGUAUCCAGACACAGACAGCUCCCGAUGUGCUGCCCCCUGAGAAAACACUUGAAUUGACGCAAUAUAAAACAAAAUGUGAAAACCAAAGUGGAUUUAUCCUGCAGCUCAAGCAGCUUCUUGCCUGUGGUAAUACCAAGUUUGAGGCAUUGACAGUUGUGAUUCAGCACCUGCUGUCUGAGCGGGAGGAAGCGCUGAAACAACACAAAACCCUAUCUCAAGAACUUGUUAACCUCCGGGGAGAGCUAGUCACUGCUUCAACCACCUGUGAGAAAUUAGAAGAAGCCAGGAAUGAGUUACAAACAGCGUAUGAAGCAUUUGUCCAGCAGCACCAGGCUGAAAAAACAGAACGAGAGAAUCGGCUUAAAGAAUUUUACACCAGGGAGUAUGAAAAGCUUCGGGACACUUACAUUGAAGAAGCAGAGAAGUACAAAAUGCAAUUGCAAGAGCAGUUUGACAACUUAAAUGCUGCCCAUGAAACGUCUAAGUUGGAAAUUGAAGCUAGCCACUCGGAAAAAGUUGAAUUGCUAAAGAAGGCCUAUGAAGCCUCCCUUUCAGAAAUUAAGAAAGGCCAUGAAAUAGAAAAGAAAUCGCUUGAAGAUUUACUUUCUGAGAAGCAGGAAUCGCUAGAGAAGCAAAUCAACGAUCUGAAGAGUGAAAAUGAUGCUUUAAAUGAAAAAUUGAAAUCAGAAGAACAAAAAAGAAGAGCAAGAGAGAAAGCAAAUUUGAAAAAUCCUCAGAUCAUGUAUCUGGAACAGGAGUUAGAAAGCCUGAAAGCUGUGUUAGAGAUCAAGAAUGAGAAACUGCAUCA
rnacentral:sRNA from 1 species